AUGAAGCUCGCACGUCAGAUCUUCCUCAAUUAAUCCACCAUUAGCAUGUUUGGGAUCCACUACUGGAUGGUUAACAGCAGCUUUUGUAACUGUACGCCGACCAUACCCAAUUAUGCUCUGCUAAAAAUGAACUCUUUGCAGACCAACCCUAUCGGGCUGUCAGUGUUUUCCGUUUUCCUAUUUUAACGUUUGUGUAUAGUGGCAGGCGACAGAUGGUGUAGAUCAGAUCGAUUUGAUUGCAUUAGACGAUUUUUUCCCUUCCCCACUCCUUUCUGGAAGCUCGCAUCAGCUGAAGGCUAUCGCCUGGGACUCCUCGGAAGCGUGAGCAGCCGCCACCAGGCGAAGGCACUGGGGCAAAGCCAGAGCAAAGCGCCGAGGUCCCUUCCCAGGGCUUGUUAACACUGUAACCCGGCACUCGGAAGGAAGCAGCUCCCACUGCCCAGACCUACCUCACCGCACAGCAGAUGACUCCCUGGCUUCUACACACAGUUGGAGUUCCGCUUGAAACCUGGAUUUAGAGGGUCUCUCUCGCUGCCAUAACACUCAGUCAAAGCACCUAGAGUGGGCUAGCUGAGACGAGAAAGGAUGCAAGAAGAGCAGGCACAGAGGAAGAUGCUGGCAGAUCACCAGAUUGGGAAACAGAGCAGCCAUUUGGAUUUGGGCAGGAAGCAGCCGAGCCCAGCUUUGGAUCCUUCUUUAGGGAAAUCGAGUUAUGGAUUUAUGGUCCCGGUCAAGCUCAGCCCAGCCCCAGCCAGGGGCGGGCUCAGCAGCAAGA